CUUUCCUUUUCCGAUUGAAGUUUUUGACUGAUUUCGAUACAUGUAGAUGUAGUUAUGUAUAUACAUAUAUCAUAAUCUUCGUUCAAUUUUCUGUAGAUUUCUUCGAUAUUGUGCUUGCUUUCUUUACCGAUUAAAGCUUUUGACUGAUUUUGAUUCAUAUAUUUAUGUAUCUAUCGUAUUUAAGUUUUGAUUUUGACCAAUCCAUCCACAAAAUUCUAUUAUCCAUCCAACCCGUCGAUAUAUCUGAACAUCACGAAGGGUUUGGAUUAAGUCCAGAGAGUUUGGAUCAAUGGAUUCGUUAUACAUCCCCUGCAUUGAGCAUGCGAAGCAAUGGCUUUCCAAUUCCAAUCAUCCAAUCGAUUCCGAUCCGAAUGUUACUUAUGCCCGUGUAUGGCUCCAUGGUCCCAGUCUAAGUGGAAGGUUCGAAUGAGCAAUUCCAGCAGGUAGAAAUUGAUUUCCUCCAAAAAAAUUUGAUUUUUCCCUCUUUUAUUUGAUAAUAUCAUGAUUAGACAUACUCCAUUAAAUCACAUUUGAAUUACAUAUCUGAUAAUGAUAUUAUGGUCUUUGCUAAGUUUACAUCAGUUUGUUUUGGUGAUUUUUAUUUAUCUACAACUCCCACUAUAGUGAUAAACAAAGUUAUACAGAAAGUCUAUGGUUUUGAGGCCUUUAAGAGUUGAGUUCAAUAUAAUGUAUCAAGUGUUGUUGGUUGUCUACUAUUAAUAGAA